GACGAACGCUGGCGGCGUGCUUAACACAUGCAAGUCGAACGGUGAACCAGGGCUUGCCCUGGGGAUCAGUGGCGAACGGGUGAGUAACACGUGACCAACCUGCCCUUGGCUCUGGGAUAACCCCGGGAAACCGGAGCUAAUACCGGAUACGAGUUCGUGCGGCAUCACACGAACUGGAAAGCUUUUCGGCCAAGGAUGGGGGCGCGGCCUAUCAGCUUGUUGGUGGGGGAAUGGCCUACCAAGGCGACGACGGGUAGCCGGCCUGAGAGGGCGACCGGCCACACUGGGACUGAGACACGGCCCAGACUCCUACGGGAGGCAGCAGUGGGGAAUAUUGCGCAAUGGGCGAAAGCCUGACGCAGCGACGCCGCGUGAGGGACGACGGCCUUCGGGUUGUAAACCUCUUUCAGCAGGGAAGAAGCGAAAGUGACGGUACCUGCAGAAGAAGCACCGGCUAACUACGUGCCAGCCGCCGCGGUAAGAC
rnacentral:rRNA from 1 species